GUGGGGAAUAUUGGACAAUGGGCGAAAGCCUGAUCCAGCCAUGCCGCGUGUGUGAAGAAGGUCUUCGGAUUGUAAAGCACUUUAAGUUGGGAGGAAGGGCAGUAAGUUAAUACCUUGCUGUUUUGACGUUACCGACAGAAUAAGCACCGGCUAACUUCGUGCCAGCAGCCGCGGUAAUACGAAGGGUGCAAGCGUUAAUCGGAAUUACUGGGCGUAAAGCGCGCGUAGGUGGUUUUGUAAGUUGGAGGUGAAAUCCCCGGGGUCAACCUGGGAACUGCCUCCAAAACUGCAUGACUAGAGUACGGUAGAGGGUAGUGGAAUUUCCUGUGUAGCGGUGAAAUGCGUAGAUAUAGGAAGGAACACCAGUGGCGAAGGCGACUACCUGGACUGAUACUGACACUGAGGUGCGAAAGCGUGGGGAGCAAACAGGAUUAGAAACCCGGGUAGUCC
rnacentral:rRNA from 1 species